ensembl:lncRNA
UUUUAUUCCAGGUAGGCUUAAUCUGGGUCUAAAAAGUAUUGAACCAAAAAUCCUUUCAAGUGCUGAUGAGUCAUUUUUCUUCACACUGCUCUCAGAACGAGCACUGUUGAACGCCUGGUGCUGCAUUGCUGAAGUGUAUGACACAUUAUCUGCUGAGAAUAGCUACAUGUAUGUAGAGAGAUCAUGCACAGGCCCUUCUCACAUCUCAUCUUGGGGUAGUGAAAAGGGCACUCAACGUCUCCUGUCCGUUUUUCAUUGCUUAUGUCACCUUUUGGAAAAUAAUAGAUUCAAUCAGUGUUUUGGAAAAUAAUGGUGUUUUCUUAUAUCCAUUGUUGCUUUGCCCCAAAGAAGAGGUAGAAGAAGAAGCAGAAGACGAAGAAGAGUCUGAACAGGAAGUAGAAGCUGAAUCAGAAGAAACUCAGGAGGAAGCUCUUCAGGAAGAGCUUCCAGAGGAGGUAGAUGAAUUUGAUGAGCCAUUUGAGGAGUUCACAGAAGAACAUGCCGAGGUAGAAGAACAUAUUGAAGAUGCACCAACAGCAGACCAAAAAUAGCCUGUCUGUGUAUAUUGUACGAUAAGAUUUUCCUGACUUCGAAGCCCAUGCCAGAAACGUAGAGCCUACGGUCUCAGCGCAGUAAGACGGAGCGAGGACCAGCCCACUGAGCACGUGUAGCCGUGCUUCCCCACCUCCAGAGAAAGAGUAGCGUUGCCACGACUUUCGCCACUGUCUCCGUUUUUUCACUCACACACUCAGAAUUACGUUUUUCUUCCAUUAGUGUAAAAUCUCACUGUUCCGUUACUUGUUUGAUUAGUAUGUUGUUUUUCUCUCUUGCCUUUUUGUUUUGUUUUCUGUUCUACUUUGUUUCCACGUCUUUUAGUUUAAAGAAUUCCCAUUUUCUGUAUUGGAAAGUAUCAAUGAAUUUCUCUUCUGUAUGUGUAGGUAGAUCAUUUGAGUUGUAGGUUGUUUUUCCUUUCCUGUGUAUAACAAGCAGAGGCACGUGUUGCUUUGCUAGUGAAAGAUCUUGACAUGUCUGAACCGAGUUCAGCAGUGUGCUUUCACCCUGUUGAAUCGUGGGUCAGAACUUCAACAUUUUUAAUGGAUUUUGUUGUUGUUAAACGUGAAGGUAUUAUGCAAAGCUGCACUGAUCUUUCGUGGCAAUUUCACUCUAAGUUUUGUAUUACCAGUGUGUAGUGAGUCUACUACAUGUGGAAGGUAAACUCGGACAAGUCAGGUGACGUGUUGGGCGAGUGUGUGUGAGCUUUAGUGUGUAUGACUGAGAAUGUGUGUAGAUGUUUUGUGUGUGCGUGCGACUGUGUGUCUGUAGACAUAUCACUUUGAAAAACAAUCCCUAUUAGCCGUAGUUCUCAUUAAGAUGUGUUUGAGACUCUUCCUCAUUUCGUUUUGGUUUGUUCCAACUCCUAGUACCUCUCCCUCUGAUAUUUCUUAAGUACUGAAAGUGUUUUUGACUCACUCAGACCUCGAGCCACAACAGUGAACAUCUUUUUGUAUUUCUUAGGAUCUAUGGGAACACAUUUAUUUUCCAGCAGUGCAAGUUUUUUUUAAUUGAAACUUUUUUUUGUCACUUUUGGACAGUAUUUCAGUUGGAAGUAAACUCUCCAAAUGGAAGAUAUGUUGGCGUAUGUUAUUUUGUUCUGGGAAAAACAGAUACAAAAACAACACAGGGAGAUGAGGGAAGAGCAGGGUGUCCGAGUAUAUGGUCGUAACUCUUAGGUUUAGCUCAGUGUGGAUGUAGCUGCUCUGGUCUAACGGUCUGACACAACCCCACCCAGUCUCCUGGUGAAACAGACACUCCUGACUGCUGUGCAGUGUGUGUCCCAGGUCCUCCCAAUAGGUCUGCCACAUACACACACCUGGUCCAACAGGAAUCUGAUUCAUCCAAAUUCAUAAUUCAAUACACUUAAACAAAAAAGUCUGCGUCAACAAUGUUCAUAAACUUCUGUUCCAUUUCUCUCUAAAUGUACAGGUCCACUUUCACUUGUAUAUUAACUGGCUCUAGCCCAGGGUAAGUGCUUCAUUUGGAACAAAGAUUUAUGAAUGUCUGGGAUUGUGGAAGAUUUUAGCAGACACCAGGAACACAUCUUGUUGUUGUCCCUCUGCAUGUAUUUCAGUGCAGCCCCUAAAACCAGCUGGAACCAACUGUUCAAAGAGAAAUGCUGUAGUACGCCUAGAAUGGAACGUGGCUGUGUAACCUGUUAACUAAUAUCCUAACCACACCCAACUCGAAUUUGGCUAGCAUUUACUAUUGACGUUAUUGUCAUUAAGGUUGUCAUUGUUGUUUUUACUACAAGGACAAUGCUAGCUCGUGAUCUGGACUUGAGGCUGGAGGGUUAAGAUCAUGUUUAUUAUUUUGAAGGAGUUACGCGUUUAGUCUGUGUUCAAACUCCUCCGUAAUGUUUCUGUGAAUUCAAAUUGGUGUGUUUUUGUUUUUGAAAUCUUUCCAUUGUAGCAGUUUUCUGUGCAUUGUGGUAUUAAGGGGCCAGAUGAUAUGAUGCUGAUUUAAUGUGAUGGACUGUAGGAAAUGCUGAAAUGCAAGUCUUUUCUGGGGGGGAAACGAUUUGUUUUGACAUAUAAAACAAGUCAAGUGGUUGCAAUAUAGUUUUUAGUACAUAUUUUGUCUUUUUUCUAUAACACUAAUGGGUAUUUUUCUAUUCCCUAACACUUUUGAAGUUGAUGUGAAUUUUUAACGUGGUGUUAAUUUUACAUUAUACAAAACUUUACGAGAUCUGUUCUAGAUUUUUAAAUAAAAAUACACUUUCUAGGAUCAAAACUUUUUUCUGAAUUUUAAAGAAAGUGUUCAACCUUUUUGAAAGCCAUAAGUGAAAGGUGGUGCUGCUCAGAACAGACCUGAUUAACUCCAAGGGGAAGCCAUUGCACAACUAGCAAUAACAGAAAACAUCACUACAAUCUCAAAUUGCAGUUCACAUAUGAACAGAAGUUCACACACAGAAAAACAUGUCAGAGGUUUACGUAGUAUCCUGCUAUACAGGCUAGAAGGUUUUUAAAUGAUUGUGAAAAUGCAUCCUGUAUGCAGGGUUGGAUGACUGUCACAGUUUCUGUAAAUGUUCUGUUGAGGGGCUGCAAUAAAGGUUUGGGACAACACCAUGGUGUAAUUUAUUCUCGUGCUUACCCCUCUCUGGGCACAGUAGUCCACCAAACCAUGCAUGGUAACACUUUUUAUACUAAGGUACCCUUUUUUUAAGUCUGUUGAAAAGGGUCAGCCGUAUGUAAACC